AACAUGAGCUCUCCCAGCUGAGAAAAAGAGUGAAUCGCAGCGCAGCCAGCGACGGAGCCAGCGGCGAGCGGCACGGCGAGCAGCGGAGAUGAUCAGAUUUCUGCAGCCGUUCUUGCAGCCUUUUUCUGGCCACACAGCACACAGAGACUUUCUGCCUC